UAUUUUUUUAUUUUUUUUUAGGCUUUUCGGUUCUUUGCGCCUUUUCGGAGUUAAGUCUCAGAAGGAAAAGAAAAUCCUAGAGAACCCUACCACACAAACCACAGGAGAGCGUGAUAGAAACUCAUAACUAUUUACAAAGGACCAGGAUGGCGGGUUGCGCACACAUUCUGUGGUGCAUCUUUUGGGUUUUGGUGUUGAUUUUCUUGGCUUGGCCCUUAAGCAUUUUCUUUGGGGGUCUGUAUGGGUUCCUGGCCCCUCUGACCACCUGUGUGGGACUGGACAAAGUGACAGACCUUCUGCUGAAAGGAGUUAAUUUGGGAAGAACCUGUGCAGAAUAUGCCCGAGAUGGAAAGUCUCUGUGAAAUGGUCACAAUGCAGUUGGACUGAAGCCACAAACAUCUUAUAUCCCGUCUGCUUCUUGAAUUAACAUCUCCCUGUCUGAGGAAAAUGUCCAUUUAACCUUUGCCACUUACACGGCUCAUCUACACCCAAACAUAAUAAUGGUGCUCAUUAUUUGCUCAGUAUUAACUAUAUGUUAUUUCUUUUAUCUAUGUUUGCAAUGUCAUAUGCGCAAUACAAAAUAAUUUCUAAGACAUAUAUAGUACAUACAUUGUAUCGAUAUGUGAAAUAAUAAAAGUAACCCAGACAGAUAAA